rnacentral:rRNA from 1 species
GAUGAACGCUGGCGGCGUGCCUAAUACAUGCAAGUCGAGCGAACAGACGAGGAGCUUGCUCCUCUGACGUUAGCGGCGGACGGGUGAGUAACACGUGGAUAACCUACCUAUAAGACUGGGAUAACUUCGGGAAACCGGAGCUAAUACCGGAUAAUAUAUUGAACCGCAUGGUUCAAUAGUGAAAGACGGUUUUGCUGUCACUUAUAGAUGGAUCCGCGCCGCAUUAGCUAGUUGGUAAGGUAACGGCUUACCAAGGCAACGAUGCGUAGCCGACCUGAGAGGGUGAUCGGCCACACUGGAACUGAGACACGGUCCAGACUCCUACGAGAGGCAGCAGUAGGGAAUCUUCCGCAAAGGGCGAAAGCCUGACGGAGCAACGCCGCGUGAGUGAUGAAGGUCUUCGGAUCGUAAAACUCUGUUAUUAGGGAAGAACAAAUGUGUAAGUAACUACGCACGUCUUGACGGUACCUAAUCAGAAAGCCACGGCUAACUACGUG